AAUCCAUAGGUUAAUGAGGCGAACCGGGGGAACUGAAACAUCUAAGUACCCCGAGGAAAAGAAAUCAACCGAGAUUCCCCCAGUAGCGGCGAGCGAACGGGGAGGAGCCCAGAGCCUGAAUCAGCAUGUGUGUUAGUGGAAGCGUCUGGAAAGGCGCGCGAUACAGGGUGACAGCCCCGUACACAAAAGCGCAUGUGCUGUGAGCUCGAUGAGUAGGGCGGGACACGUGGUAUCCUGUCUGAAUAUGGGGGGACCAUCCUCCAAGGCUAAAUACUCCUGACUGACCGAUAGUGAACCAGUACCGUGAGGGAAAGGCGAAAAGAACCCCGGCGAGGGGAGUGAAAAAGAACCUGAAACCGUGUACGUACAAGCAGUGGGAGCACCCUUCGGGGUGUGACUGCGUACCUUUUGUAUAAUGGGUCAGCGACUUAUAUUCUGUAGCAAGGUUAACCGUAUAGGGGAGCCGUAGGGAAACCGAGUCUUAACCGGGCGUUAAGUUGCAGGGUAUAGACCCGAAACCCGGUGAUCUAGCCAUGGGCAGGUUGAAGGUUGGGUAACACUAACUGGAGGACCGAACCGACUAAUGUUGAAAAAUUAGCGGAUGACCUGUGGCUGGGGGUGAAAGGCCAAUCAAACCGGGAGAUAGCUGGUUCUCCCCGAAAGCUAUUUAGGUAGCGCCUCGUGAAUUCAUCUCCGGGGGUAGAGCACUGUUUCGGCUAGGGGGCCAUCCCGGCUUACCAACCCGAUGCAAACUGCGAAUACCGGAGAAUGUUAUCACGGGAGACACACGGCGGGUGCUAACGUCCGUCGUGAAGAGGGAAACAACCCAGACCGCCAGCUAAGGUCCCAAAGUCAUGGUUAAGUGGGAAACGAUGUGGGAAGGCCCAGACAGCCAGGAUGUUGGCUUAGAAGCAGCCAUCAUUUAAAGAAAGCGUAAUAGCUCACUGGUCGAGUCGGCCUGCGCGGAAGAUGUAACGGGGCUAAACCAUGCACCGAAGCUGCGGCAGCGACACU
rnacentral:rRNA from 1 species